rnacentral:rRNA from 1 species
AUUGAACGCUGGCGGCAGGCCUAACACAUGCAAGUCGAGCGAGCGGCGGACGGGUGAGUAAUGUAUGGGGACUGCCCGAUAGAGGGGGAUAACUACUGGAAACGGUGGCUAAUACCGCAUACUAUCGGAUAACCCAUAUGGGAUUAGCUAGUAGGUGGGGUAAAGGCUCACCUCGGCGACGAUCUCUAGCUGGUCUGAGAGGAUGAUCAGCCACACGGGGACUGAGACACGGCCCAGACUCCUACGGAGGCACCAGGGGGGAAUAUUGCACAAUGGGCGCAAGCCUGAUGCAGCAAUGCCGCUUGUUUGAAGAAGGCCUCAGGGUGGUAAAGUACUUUCAGCGGGGAGGCGUUAACCGAAGAAGAAGCACCGGCUAACUCCGUGCCAGCAGCCGCGGUAAUAC